GCCGGUUUAGCUCAUUUGGUAGAGCAACUGACUUGUAAUCAGUAGGUGACCAGUUCGAAUCCGGUAGCCGGCACCA
rnacentral:tRNA from 1 species